rnacentral:lncRNA from 1 species
CUUAAAAAUUGAACCUCAGUGCUCAACUCUUCUGUCUACUGACAAGAUCAGACUCUUUGUCUUGCAUGCAUUUUACAGUGAUUAUUUAUUUAUUUAUUUAUUUUUUAAUACAGAAAAGGCAGAAGAGCAUCAUCAGAUUAAUGAAAAAAGGUUACCCCUCCUUAGCUGAAAUGCAAUAAUAUGCCAUAAAUGCCCAGCUGGCACAUCACAAUAAGCAGCAGAGAGAGAUUAAUUUGAAACAGUGAAUGUGGAAAGGCUGUUUUUCUGCUGUUACAGGUUAUAACAGCAACUUGCAUGCAUGAAAAAAUGUCUUCAGAUACCAACUGACACAGGAGACAGAUGUAGCUGCAUUGCCAUCUAUGGAGGCCUUCACAUACAGACUGAAGUUUAGAUUGAGCAUGGACUUGGACUAUCUGUGGCUUCCCAAGUAUUUGAGCAGAGGAGUAAUGACACCACCUCAAUAUCUGCACUCAGAAAUACACUAGAGUGCUAAGAAGCUGAAGAAUAAUGCCUCAAGCCUUCUAUAACACAUUAUCUAAGAAAGCUAAAUAGUGGAUGAAACCUGGCUCCUGAAACAGAAUCAAGUACUCUCUGCAUCAUGAGAGAUGUCUAAAGAGAGAAGACUUUAAUUUGCCAAGACAGAAUACCACUGUGUUAAUUUUUCCAACAGCUAAUGAUUCUUACUUUAAUGCUUUUCAAAUGUUGAGCUUUGGACUGGGAAUUCAACAAAUGUUCUCCUCUGCAUGCUUUUCAAACUGCACUUUUACACUCUGAUUCUCUUAUUGUACAUUUCCCAAAUAACGCAUAGGCUCACAGUAGACAGUUCUUUG